rnacentral:tRNA from 2 species
GGAGAGGGUGGAGCGGACUCGAAAACCGGAGUGGUCGAAAGGCCACCGUGGGUUCGAAUCCCACCCUCUCCG